rnacentral:rRNA from 1 species
AUUGAACGCUGGCGGCAUGCCUUACACAUGCAAGUCGAACGGCAGCACGGGAGCAAUCCUGGUGGCGAGUGGCGAACGGGUGAGUAAUGUAUCGGAACGUGCCCAGUCGUGGGGGAUAACGUAGCGAAAGCUACGCUAAUACCGCAUACGAUCUAUGGAUGAAAGCGGGGGAUCGCAAGACCUCGCGCGAUUGGAGCGGCCGAUAUCAGAUUAGGUAGUUGGUGGGGUAAAGGCCCACCAAGCCUGCGAUCUGUAGCUGGUCUGAGAGGACGACCAGCCACACUGGAACUGAGACACGGUCCAGACUCCUACGGGAGGCAGCAGUGGGGAAUCUUGGACAAUGGGCGCAAGCCUGAUCCAGCAAUGCCGCGUGCAGGAUGAAGGCCUUCGGGUUGUAAACUGCUUUUGUACGGAACGAAACGGCUUUUUCUAAUACAGAGAGCUAAUGACGGUACCGUAAGAAUAAGCACCGGCUAACUACGUGCCAGCCGCCGCAGUAAAAC